GACAGCUUGGCGUAGUGGUUGAAGUGGUAGGCUACAAUUCUGGAGACCAGGGUUUGAUUCCCAGCUUGGUCA